rnacentral:rRNA from 1 species
GAUGAACGCUGGCGGCGUGCCUAAUACAUGCAAGUCGAGCGAACGGACGAGAAGCUUGCUUCUCUGAUGUUAGCGGCGGACGGGUGAGUAACACGUGGAUAACCUACCUAUAAGACUGGGAUAACUUCGGGAAACCGUAGCUAAUACCGGAUAAUAUUUUGAACCGCAUGGUUCAAAAGUGAAAGACGGUCUUGCUGUCACUUAUAGAUGGAUCCGCGCUGCAUUAGCUAGUUGGUAAGGUAACGGCUUACCAAGGCAACGAUGCAUAGCCGACCUGAGAGGGUGAUCGGCGGCACUGGAACUGAGACACGGUCCAGACUCCUACGGGAGGCAGCAGUAGGGAAUCUUCCGCAAUGGGCGAAGGCCUGACGGAGCAACGCCGCGUGAGUGAUGAAGGUCUUCGGAUCGUAAAACUCUGUUAUUAGGGAAGAACAUAUGUGUAAGUAACUGUGCACAUCUUGACGGUACCUAAUCAGAAAGCCACGGCUAACUACGUG